rnacentral:rRNA from 1 species
CCUACGGGAGGCAGCAGUGGGGAAUAUUGGGCAAUGGGCGCAAGCCUGACCCAGCAACGCCGCGUGAAGGAAGAAGGCCCUCGGGUUGUAAACUUCUUUUGUCAGGGACGAAGCAAGUGACGGUACCUGACGAAUAAGCCACCGCUAACUACGUGCCAGCCGCCGCGGUAAUACGUAGGUGGCAAGCGUUAUCCGGAUUUACUGGGUGUAAAGGGCGUGUAGGAGGGGAAGCAAGUCAGAUGUGAAAUUCCAGGGCUCAACCCUGGAACUGCAUUUGAAACUGGUUUUCUUGAGUGAUGGAGAGGAAGGCGGAAUUCCGGGUGUAGCGGUGAAAUGCGUAGAUAUACGGAGGAACACCAGUGGCGAAGGCGGCCUGCUGGACAUUAACUGACGCUGAGGCGCGAAAGCGUGGGGAGCAAACAGGAUUAGAUACCCUGGUAGUC